UGCAAUUGAAUUGAGUUAACCAAUGUACAA
rnacentral:piRNA from 1 species